GUGGCAUUGCUUUCCUUCGAAGAAUUUCGGGCAAGGUGUGGACCGUGGUCAAACAGGAUUUGGAGACAUGUGGCGUAUAGACAAUACACAUGGUUCAGCCAUGGAUACUUUGGACGCAAGCAGCGGCGUGUGAUACCGUCUUGCGUGGUAUCGAAGAUAAAGCAGCUGUACCAGAAGCCAAUGCAGAUGCGCACUGGGGCUUUGAGGAAGCAGUUGGACAUGAUGAUGAUGAUGAUGAUAAUGCUUCUUGGCCUGGUUGACGUUCACAUAAUCAUUGGUACAUGUGCAUGCAGAAUGUAGAAAACAGUUGACAGACACGAUUUAUAACUAUUCUUGACUCGGGCAAUAUUUGUGUUUUCGGGUGGGCGCAUGCUUUGCACCAAUGCAGCUGCACGAACAAUCUGGUAAAGUUGACAGAUACAAUG